rnacentral:rRNA from 1 species
UACGUAGGGUCCGAGCGUUGUCCGGAAUUACUGGGCGUAAAGAGCUCGUAGGUGGUUUGUCGCGUUGUUCGUGAAAACUCACAGCUCAACUGUGGGCGUGCGGGCGAUACGGGCAGACUGGAGUACUGCAGGGGAGACUGGAAUUCCUGGUGUAGCGGUGAAAUGCGCAGAUAUCAGGAGGAACACCGGUGGCGAAGGCGGCACUCUGGGCUGGAACUGACGCUGAGGAAGCGAAAGCGUGGGUAGCAAACAGG